CAGCCGGUCGCCAACAUGGGCCUAGAAGCUGCCUCCUCCGACGUAGUGUCUCCUGAUGACGACGAGUUCGACGCAUACAGGAAGCGCAUGAUGCUCGCCUACCGGUUCAGACCCAACCCUCUGAAUAAUCCUCGGCGACCGUAUUAUUAAGUAAACUAGAUUAAUACAUUUAAAGUCUUAAAGAGUUUUGUUAUGUUAUCGAAACCAUAAAUGCAUCGCGCAUGAUGUAUGUCAACUUAUUUCAGAUUUUGAUGACACAGUAUGGGCAUAUUUGUUAUUAAAAACAUGAAUAGGUAAUAUGUAUUAGUUCGUGUUCAGAUAUUUUUGAGUAAAUUUGUCUGUCAAUAUUAUUACUUUGUGUAUUUGAUGGCGACCGUAUUAAUAUAAUAUCACCAAUUUAAACACAUGAAAUGAGUAAAGUACAAAACAUAAUGUAUAAUCAUAUAUAUUAACUAUAUAAUGUUAUAUAAGUAUAUUAUUUAACCGAAUGCCGAAAAAGAGGUUAUUCAAGUAUGUUUGCCCAAAAUAAUUUGCUUAGCCCAAAUUCUUGACUGAUUUUAAAGUGAGAUGUCACUAGAUUUUCUAUCUCAGUCGUGGGGGUGCCGUAGGCAAUGUUUUUAUAAGUAGACUUACGUAUUAGUUAGAAUCUGGUCUCAAUCCACGGGUGGUAGGUAGCCAUUUGUUGAAAAUUGUAUAAAAAUAUUACUAUAAUUUAAGUAUUUCAGAAACUUUCAUGUAACUACAUUCAUGUAUUUAACUGUAAGUACAAUUACUACAGUUAUUCGGCGCGAUUCGGGAAAUGAAUUAGAGAUUCACUAGAUAUGAAAUAGUAAAGAUAUGUGACGUUCCACGGCAAAAGGUACCUUAUGGCCGCAAUAAUAUUGGAGCGGUGUUAAUAAUAGCGUAAGCGCCAACCUCCAUAGGGUCCUUUUGCCGUGGAACGUCACAUAACGUCACUAUUUCAUAUCUAGUGAAUGUCUAAUUCAUUUCCGGAAUCGCGCCGAUUACAUUUUUUCUUUCUAUUUUAGACAUUUUAGUCUGCAUAAUGUCUUUCAGAGCCAAAUUGUGUUUAUAUUAUAAAUCUAUUAAUUGUAUAGUCAUUAAGUUCUUUAUCAAACAACAAGGCUUGAUUCAUUCAACUAAUGGCAUCAUACUUACUUUAUGUAUAAAUAUUUAGCACAAUUUGUGGCAUACUUUCAUAAAAAAUACAUACUUACAUUUUA